UACGUAGGGUGCAAGCUUUGUCCGGAUUUAUUGGGCGUAAAGAGCUCGUAGGCGGCUUGUCACGUCGGAUGGGAAAACUCGGGGCUCAACCCCGAGCCUGCAUUCGAUACGGGCUAGCUAGAGUGUUGCAGGGGAGACUGGAAUUCCUGGUGUAGCGGUGAAAUGCGCAGAUAUCAGGAGGAACACCGGUGGCGAAGGCGGGUCUCUGGGCAACUACUGACGCUGAGGAGCGAAAGCGUGGGGAGCGAACAGG
rnacentral:rRNA from 1 species